UGGGGAAUUUUGGACAAUGGGCGAAAGCCUGAUCCAGCAAUGCCGCGUGUGUGAAGAAGGCCUUCGGGUUGUAAAGCACUUUUGUCCGGAAAGAAAUCCUUGGCUCUAAUACAGUCGGGGGAUGACGGUACCGGAAGAAUAAGCACCGGCUAACUACGUGCCAGCAGCCGCGGUAAUACGUAGGGUGCAAGCGUUAAUCGGAAUUACUGGGCGUAAAGCGUGCGCAGGCGGUUUGCUAAGACCGAUGUGAAAUCCCCGGGCUCAACCUGGGAACUGCAUUGGUGACUGGCAGGCUAGAGUAUGGCAGAGGGGGGUAGAAUUCCACGUGUAGCAGUGAAAUGCGUAGAGAUGUGGAGGAAUACCGAUGGCGAAGGCAGCCUCCGUCAGGCCAAUACUGACGCUCAUGCACGAAAGCGUGGGGAGCAAACAGGAUUAGAUACCCUGGUAGUCCACGCCCUAAANGAUGUCAACUAGUUGUUGGGGAUUCAUUUCCUUAGUAACGUAGCUAACGCGUGAAGUUGACCGCCUGGGGAGUACGGUCGCAAGAUUAAAACUCAAAUGAAUUGAC
rnacentral:rRNA from 1 species